rnacentral:rRNA from 1 species
UACGUAGGGGGCAAGCGUUGUCCGGAUUUAUUGGGCGUAAAGGGCGUGUAGGCGGCCUGUUAAGUCUGAAGUGAAACUCCAGGGCUCAACCCUGGAACUGCUUCGGAUACUGGGAGGCUUGAGUACUCUAGAGGGUAGUGGAAUUGCCGGUGUAGCAGUGAAAUGCGUAGAGAUCGGCAGGAACACCAGUGGCGAAGGCGACUGCCUGGGGAGAAACUGACGCUGAGGCGCGAAAGCUGGGGGAGCAAACCGGG